UUCUCCAAACAUGAAAGGAAAACAUGGGAAGAAAGAAGUUGAAGAUCUCUAGAUUGGAGAGUAACAAAGCUAGGCAAAUAAAGUAUUCCAAGAGAAAAGUUGGAGUUUUAAAGAAGGCAAAGGAACUUUCAACACUAUGUGAUAUUGAUCUUGCAAUUAUCAUGUUUUCUCCCACUGAAAAGCCAACCCUCUAUGUUGCUCAUGACAAACAAUUAGUUACUGUUUUGGAGAGGCUCUCAAGUUUAUCUGUUGAAGAGAGAGAACACAGGAGGGCCUACACCAUGAGGAAAGUGAACAAGAUGGCCAACCCAGAAGUGGCUAAAAAAAACUCUUCUCUCAACAAAGAUGAAGCAGUCAAACCUGGCCAAGCUCUGCAGCUGCAGAAGAAUCAUUUGGGAGAGCUGAAACAAAAACUCAUUGAGAAGUCAAGAAUUCUCAGGGACUGGAAGAAUCCAUACACUGUUGACAACUUAGAUCAGAUCAAAGUGAUGGAGGAACAUCUCAUUGCAAGUCUUGAGAGGAUCAAAGAAAGGAAGAUUCAGUUGUGGGAGCAGCAAAAAGGACACAAAGCCUCUAAGGCCAAACGCACAAAUUGACCUCUGUUUCUUCAUCUGGGUCCUCAGUGUCACCUUGAAGCUGCUCUAUCAACAGAUUAUCAAUGUGUUGCUUAGAAGAAUAUCUGAAGAUGACAGCAUAUUAUAUGCUAAUAUUAGUGUGCUUUCAUUUCUUUUUUUUUUUUUUUUUUUUCUUUUUUGGAAAAACAAUAUUAUAUAUUUUGAGUUGCAGACUCAAUAUUAUGGUAUGUUUUAACUGAUGAUGGUAUUUAGAGCCAAAAAUGGUAUUUAUAAUAACUGAUGAUGGUAUUUCAAACUAA